rnacentral:rRNA from 1 species
GAAUUCGCCCUUAGAGUUUGAUCCUGGCUCAGGACGAACGCUGGCGGCGCGCCUAACACAUGCAAGUCGAACGGAGCUUAAAGAGCUUGCUUUUUAAGCUUAGUGGCGAACGGGUGAGUAACGCGUGAGUAACCUGCCCUGGAGUGGGGGACAACAGUUGGAAACGACUGCUAAUACCGCAUAAGCCCACGGAUCCGCAUGGAUCUGAGGGAAAAGGAUUUAUUCGCUUCAGGAUGGACUCGCGUCCAAUUAGCUAGUUGGUGAGGUAACGGCCCACCAAGGCGACGAUUGGUAGCCGGACUGAGAGGUUGAACGGCCACAUUGGGACUGAGACACGGCCCAGACUCCUACGGGAGGCAGCAGUGGGGGAUAUUGCACAAUGGGGGAAACCCUGAUGCAGCGACGCCGCGUGGAGGAAGAAGGUUUUCGGAUUGUAAACUCCUGUCGUUAGGGACGAUAAUGACGGUACCUAACAAGAAAGCACCGGCUAACUACGUGCCAGCAGCCGCGGUAAAACGUAGGGUGCAAGCGUUGUCCGGAAUUACUGGGUGUAAAGGGAGCGCAGGCGGACCGGCAAGUUGGAAGUGAAAACUAUGGGCUCAACCCAUAAAUUGCUUUCAAAACUGCUGGCCUUGAGUAGUGCAGAGGUAGGUGGAAUUCCCGGUGUAGCGGUGGAAUGCGUAGAUAUCGGGAGGAACACCAGUGGCGAAGGCGACCUACUGGGCACCAACUGACGCUGAGGCUCGAAAGCAUGGGUAGCAAACAGGAUUAGAUACCCUGGUAGUCCAUGCCGUAAACGAUGAUUACUAGGUGUUGGAGGAUUGACCCCUUCAGUGCCGCAGUUAACACAAUAAGUAAUCCACCUGGGGAGUACGGCCGCAAGGCUGAAACUCAAAGGAAUUGACGGGGGCCCGCACAAGCAGUGGAGUAUGUGGUUUAAUUCGAAGCAACGCGAAGAACCUUACCAGGUCUUGACAUCGAGUGACGAACUUAGAGAUAAGUUCUUCCUUCGGGACACGAAGACAGGUGGUGCAUGGUUGUCGUCAGCUCGUGUCGUGAGAUGUUGGGUUAAGUCCCGCAACGAGCGCAACCCUUAUCAUUAGUUGCUACGCAAGAGCACUCUAAUGAGACUGCCGUUGAUAAAACGGAGGAAGGUGGGGAUGACGUCAAAUCAUCAUGCCCCUUAUGACCUGGGCUACACACGUACUACAAUGGUGAUCAAACAGAGGGAAGCAACACAGCGAUGUGAAGCAGAACCCGAAAAAUCAUCUCAGUUCAGAUUGCAGGCUGCAACUCGCCUGCAUGAAGUCGGAAUUGCUAGUAAUCGCGGAUCAGCAUGUCGCGGUGAAUACGUUCCCGGGCCUUGCACACACCGCCCGUCA